ACAAUUUCUAGCAUUUUUAACUGCCUCUUGCUCAGGCAGGAAACAAAACAUCCCUUCCCCAGUAUGUCUCUGAAAGGUCAUAUCACUAAGUGUGGUCUUGGGAAAGCUACAGGAAUAACAUGUGAUGGUCACUAGAGGUGUGACUUUGGGCUAAGCAGCUGGGGGCUGAAAAUUCUUAUGUUACUUUAUCCCAAAUUUUUCUAGCUUUGCUAUCAGUAUAGAGCUCAGAAAAGACUGCUGCCAAACUGUUAUUUGGUUGAGGGUUUUUUUUUUUUGCUUUCAUUUUAUUUUUUGUUAUCUAACAGGUUUUACCAGCAUCUUGGCUUCUUACUCACUAAACACAUUAAAACUCACAUUUGCUCUGCAAUCACUGCUGGCCAUUCCAUCUUUUAUGCCUCACUGGAGUCAGGUUUGUAGAUGGAAGAAGCCUUUCAGGAGUACAGCUGCAGCAUUUUGGGUUGUUCUGGGUCUGCUGAAAACUAUCACUUAACAGCAUGAUGGUGUCACAGCUGAUAGCUAAAGCCCAUCAUCACAUGUUUAAAAGCCCUCAAUGCAGUUGAACCUUAUCAGGCACCUGAUUUUUAGUUUCUACUUGAGAAUAGUUAGUCUAUGUAAGAAUAGCAGCUGAUCUUACUGGCUACCUGUGGUCCUGAUCCUGCCUUGGACCAGCAGCACUGGGUAAGGACCAGAGGCCAGAUACGUAGCAGCCUGACUGCAGCUGGGAGUGACUGGCAGCACUGGGUCCCAGGGAGACAUUGCUGCCCCACACGAGCAUGACCUGUUAUGCUAUGGCUGAACCAAAAUGGUCCCAGGAAGAGCGAUAAAGUAACCACAGCAUAUUUUGCAGUACCUUCUUAUUGAAAAUGAUCGUGACUGCUGGGCAACCAAUUUAUGUCAGCCCCAUGAGAAUUCCUUAAGUUCAGCAGCACAUUGCUGAGAAGAUUAAAGACUUUUUGGUGCUGUGAAAGAAAAGACUGUACUGGAUGAAAAUUAGGACAUCAUAGUUCUAUUUUUUUCUGAUGAAAUCUGUUCUAAAAUAAUUUGUACACGGCAUUUGUGUUUGUAUCUAUAUAGUGGGAUGCAUAUGUGUAUGUCUCUAUGUCAUUUAUAUCAUCUCUAUCCACACUCAAUCCAAGUGAGGCAAAGCUACAGAUUUCAGCUAUGCAGAUUGGAGGCCUUGCCAUUAGCACUAGUAGGUACGUGGCAAACUCCUGUGCCACCUAUGUUACAGCUGUAGGACUUGAGGAUGCUUUGGAGAAUGUGUAUUAGUACUGAGACAUGCAUAAUGUAUACUAAUGCUGAGGCAGUCACACAAUGCAUGCUCUCCUUAGGACAGAAUGAAGGAAAAACUGUACCAGAUGUACAUAGCUUGCUCCAAAAGUAAUGCCUCCUAUUUAUU